AUGGCCGUUCUUAGUUCGUGGAUUGAUUUGUCUGGGUUAUUCCGAUAACGAACGAGACUUUAACUAUUAAAUAGUGCGCAUGUUGCUUCGGCUGCGUGUGAUCACUUCUUAAAGGAAUUUGUGGUUUUCAACCUCAAGAAAUUGAGCAAUAACAGGUCUGUGAUGCCCUUAGAUGUUCGGGGCCGCACGCGUGCUACAAUGGUGGUAACAGCGUGAUUGUCCUUUUCCGACAGGAAUUGGCAAACAGUUGAGAUAUUAUUAUGGCUGGAAUUGAGUGUUGAAAUUUUCUCUCAUGAACGAGGAAUUCCAAGUAAAUGUGAGUCAUUAACUUGCAUUGAUUACGUCCCUGCCCUUUGUACACACCGCCCGUCGCUGCCCGGGACUGAGUUACUUCGAGAAAACUAGGGAUCGCUG
rnacentral:ncRNA from 1 species